GUCUGCCCGGCCCAUGUGCCCUCUGUCUGCCCGGCCCAGGUGCCCUCUGUCUGCUCGGCCCAGGUGCCCUCUGUCUGCCCGGCCCAGGUGCCUUUAGUCUGCCCGGCCCAGGUGCCCUCUGUCUGCCCGGCCCAGGUGCCCUCUGUCUGCCCGGCCCAGGUGCCCUCUGUCUGCCCGGCCCAGGUGCCCUCUGUCUGCCUGGCCCAGGUGCCCUAUCUCUGCCCGGCCUGUCUGCAGUCUGCCUGGCCCAUCUGUCCUCUGUCCGCCUAGCCCAGGUGCCCUAUCUCUGCCCGGCCCAGGUGCCCUAUCUCUGCCCGGCCCAGGUGCCUUCUGUCUGAGGUCUGUCCGGCCCUUGCCUGUAAUGGGGCACCUGGCAGAUGGAUCUGGUCCAUGAGUGAUGGGUGUCCAAAUGCUUUCCCUGGACCAGGAGCACUUGAAGGCA